UUUAUUUCAAUAAAAUAAUGAUUAAGAAAAGGAAAAGAUAUUGCAAGUUGUUUAGCAAAAAAAAAAAAAAUUGCAAGUUUCUGAUUGGCUAAUAUAUUGAGACAAGGAUUCCACUUUUCCACCGUUGAUUGCUAAAGAUCCAAAUGACCAAAUCUUCUCCUUCUAUUUCUCCUUCUCUCCUCUCUCGUUUCUUACACCUUUGUCCAAAAACCUUUCAUUUUCCAAACCUAAAUUAAUUAACUCUAUCUAUGUCUUAUCCUGCUCUCACCUUCUUCCCAAGAUCUGAAUUUUUUUUCCAUUCACCACCAUCACUCAGAUCGAAAUGAGGCGAGGCCUACCUCUCUACCUUAAUAUUCUUGGUAAUGUUCUCUUUUUGUUCUUAUUCUUCAGUGUCUUAAGUUUUGUCUCAGAUUCUAAAAGAAAAUGUUUUUGUGUUUCAGAUUUGGAUCUAGUAAAUAUUCACUAAAAACAGUUGGGAUCUAGGGAUGAGGACAGAAAACGGUGACAGAGGAGAACAGCAGCGGAGGAGACGGCGGACUAGUACGGCAGCGGCGGAGAUGGCGGACUAGAACGACAGAGGCGGAGACGGCGGACUAGUACGGCAGAGGCGGCGACGAAUGACUGGUACGGCAGCGGCGGAGACGGCGAAUUAGUACGGCGGAGAGCAAGAUUUGAAGUUUUUUUAUUUUCUUAUUCUUUUCUGUAAUUAAAUUUGUUUUGUUUAAUUGUAAUCAAAAUUAAUAAACAAAAAUGAUAUUCUGAUUAACAAAUUAACAAUCGAAAUAAAAAAAUCAUUUUUGAUUUAAUAUAUAAUAGUUAAACUUUCAAUAGAACUAAAUUUAGAAUAAUUU
rnacentral:lncRNA from 1 species